AAACGGAGGAAAAGAAACCAACAGGGAUUGCCUCAGUAACGGCGAGUGAAGCGGCAACAGCUCAAAUUUGAAAUCUGGCCUCACGGUCCGAGUUGUAAUUUGUAGAGGAUGCUUUUGGCGAGGUGCUUUCCGAGUUCCCUGGAACGGGACGCCAUAGAGGGUGAGAGCCCCGUACGGUAAGACCACCGAGCCUCUGUAAAGCUCCUUCGACGAGUCGAGUAGUUUGGGAAUGCUGCUCUAAAUGGGAGGUGUACGUCUUCUAAAGCUAAAUACCGGCCAGAGACCGAUAGCGCACAAGUAGAGUGAUCGAAAGAUGAAAAGCACUUUGAAAAGAGGGUUAAAAAGUACGUGAAAUUGUUGAAAGGGAAGCAUUCAUGACCAGACUUGGGCUUGGUUGAACAUCCGGCGUUCUCGCCGGUGCACUCUGCCAGUCCAGGCCAGCAUCAGUUUGCCCCGGGGGACAAAGGCGGUGGGAAUGUGGCUCUCUUCGGGGAGUGUUAUAGCCCGCCGUGUAAUGCCCUGGGGUGGACUGAGGAACGCGCUUCGGCACGGAUGCUGGCGUAAUGGUCAUCAAUGACCCGUCUU
rnacentral:rRNA from 1 species